CAGAGUGUAAUAUCAGUUGGUAGAUGGCCUGCCUUGGAAGCAGGAGGUCGUAGGUUCGAGUCCUACCACUCUGACCA
rnacentral:tRNA from 1 species